rnacentral:rRNA from 1 species
AUGCACGCUGGCGGCGUGCCUAAUACCUGCCAGUCGAGCGAACGUACGAGAAGCUUGCUUCUCUGAUGUUAGCGGCGGACGGGUGAGUAACACGUGGAUAACCUACCUAUAAGACUGGGAUAACUUCGGGAAACCGGAGCUAAUACCGGAUGAUAUUUUUAACCGCCUGGUUCAAAAGUGAAAGACGGUCUUGCUGUCACUUAUAGAUGGAACCGCGCUGCAUUAGCUAGUUGGUAAGGUAACGGCUUACCAAGGCAACGAUGCAUAGCCGACCUGAGAGGGUGAUCGGCCACACUGGAACUGAGACACGGUCCAGACUCCUACGGGAGGCAGCAGUAGGGAAUCUUCCGCAAUGGGCGAAAGCCUGACGGAGCAACGCCGCGUGAGUGAUGAAGGUCUUCGGAUCGUAAAACUCUGUUAUUAGGGAAGAACAUAUGUGUAAGUAACUGUGCACAUCUUGACGGUACCUAAUCAGAAAGCCACGGCUAACUACGUG